UACGGGGGGAGCAAGCGUUGUUCGGAUUUACUGGGCGUAAAGAGCUCGUAGGCGGUUUGUCGCGUCUGCUGUGAAAACUCGGGGCUUAACCCCGGGCCUGCAGUGGGUACGGGCAGACUAGAGUGCGGUAGGGGAGACUGGAAUUCCUGGUGUAGCGGUGAAAUGCGCAGAUAUCAGGAGGAACACCGGUGGCGAAGGCGGGUCUCUGGGCCGUAACUGACGCUGAGGAGCGAAAGCGUGGGGAGCGAACAGG
rnacentral:rRNA from 1 species